rnacentral:rRNA from 1 species
AUGAAAAAAAAGAAAGCAUUGCCUUCUUUACUAUAUCUUGUAUUUAUCGUACUUUUGCCUUGGGGGGUCUCUUCCUCAUUUAACAAAUGUCUGGAACUUUGGAUUAAGAAUUGGUGGAAUACCAGGCAAUCCGAAACUCUCUUAACUGAUAUUCAAGAGAAAAGGAUUCUAGAAAGAUUCAUAGAAUUAGAAGAACUUUCUCUCUUGGACGAGAUGAUA